AUCAAUAUAAAACCUUGUGUGCUGAAGCAGAAAAAUUACGUGGACACUGAAAAUAACACCUCUAUGCUUCUAUUUGAAAUCCUCUGGCUCUAAGAUGGAGGAGCUUCUGAAAUUGAGUAUGUUGGCAGACAUGCUGAAUGAAUACACAUUCAAGAGCUCAUAGCAUGAACCCAUAUAGUCAACCAAUCUAAGAAAGUUCAAAUUGCUGAAACUGGAGAAUUCUGGGGGAUGAAAUUGCUGACAGCCCAUCCUUCCUACAGGGAGUUACUUUCUACUAAUGUCCCAUUGAGUCCCACUGUGUCACUGAUAAAAUUACUGCAUCCCAUUGGAAGUUGCUCCAGCCAGGGGGAAGAGCCAAACCUUUCUUACCAAGAUAAGAACUGAGAUUUUGGGACAUGAAGGGAGCCCUUUUUCCAUCCGGACUUCAAAGACAAACCGGACUUCUCCACAUCAUCACUGGACCUUCGGAGGGAAACUCCACCCUCCUACAGGAGCACUGCUUCAACAGAAUCACAUCUGUCUCUGCAGAA